AACUCGCCGAUCUCCACCUCCCAUCUCGUUCCGACCCCGGCCUCCGCCGCUACAUCUCCAAACCCUAGCUAGGGUUUUGGCCAGCCAUCCCCUUCUCGCUCCCUCGCCCCCAUGGAUCCCUUCACCAAAAAGCGCAAGGCCGACGAGAACGGCGCCGCCACCGCCUCCCCCGCCGGCGGGGCCGCCGCGCUGGGCCUCACCCGCGACGACGUCCUCCGCCUCCUCGACCCGCUCUCCCGGGACCAGCUCGCCGACAUCGCGGCCGCGGCCGCUCUUGUGUCGGCGCACGCGCUCGACGCCGUGCGCGCCGCCGCCGACCGGGACCCGGCCCUCCGCAAGCUGUUUGUGCGGGGGCUCGGGUGGGAGACCACCUCCGACUCGCUCCGCGCCAUAUUCUCCGCCUACGGCGACCUCGAAGAGGCCGUAGUCAUCACCGACAAGAAUACGGGGCGGUCCAAGGGCUACGGCUUCGUCACCUUCCGCCACGCCGACUCCGCCGUCCUCGCGCUCAAGGAGCCCUCCAAAAAGAUCGACGGCCGCAUGACCGUCACGCAGCUAGCUGCCGCCGGCGCGGCCGGAGGGCCUUCCGGUGGGGCCGCGGGCAGCGGUGGCGCUCCUGUGGCAGAUGUCUCCCUUCGAAAAAUCUUUGUCGGCAACGUCCCUGCCGAAAUGGCGUCCGAGCGCCUCCUUGCUCACUUCGCCUCUUAUGGCGAGAUCGAGGAGGGGCCGCUGGGUUUUGACAAGCAGACGGGCAAGUUCCGUGGCUUUGCCCUCUUUGUGUACAAGACGCCUGAGGGUGCGCAGGCCUCGUUAGUGGACUCGGUGAAGGUAAUUGAUGGAAACCAGCUUGUAUGCAAGCUCGCAAUAGAGGGGAAGAAGGGGAAGCAGGGGCAAUCACAACAAUCUGGGGCUGCCAACCAGCAGCAGCAGCAGAUGAUGCAGGGUGGUCCACAGGAAAUGCAGGGAGGGCUUGGGCUUGGGCCUGGGCCACAGAUGGCGGCGCAGUAUGGUGGCCCUGGGAGUGGUAUGUCUUCGUUUGGUGCAUUUGGUGGUGUUGGCGGCGGGUUUGGGGGUCCAAACCCUUAUGGAAACAUGCCCUCUUCCAUGGGUGGAGGGGGUGCAGGUGGCAUAGGCUCAAUGGGAGGCCAGGUGCCUACCGGUUUGGGUGGUGCUGGGGCUGGCGCAUUUGGGCCUGGUGGAUUGGGCGGUGGCUCGUUUGGUGGAUCAUCUCAGUUUGGUGCUGGUGGGAUGGGGGCUUAUGGUGGCCUUGGAAUGGGUGGAGGUUCCAUGUACCGCAUGCAACAAGGAGGUGGGCUGCCUGCAGGUGGCUUUGAAGGAGGGAACUACCCCCUUCCAGGUUCGGGUUUCCGUGGCCAGGACCCUCAAGGUGGGAUGUCACCUGGGCCAGGUGGCAGGGCUCCUCCUAUGUAUCCCAAUGUGCCGCCUUAUUUCUAAGGUAUACUUUACAGCCGUAGCAUAUUUUUAGUUUUAUUGUUUAUUACUGUUGUGGUAUGCUGCUUUUGAGACUUGGAAUUGUAGUGAAACAUGCAUUGAUUUGUAGAUUGUUCAUUGUUUGCUUUAGCUUCUCAUGGAUGGAAUUGACUAUGUAUUUUGGCUGGAUGGUGAGUGUUUUUGGCUUUUAUUGAAUCUGGCUGUGAUUGAGAAGUCAGAUUCUUUUGAUUUGACUAUUUUGUUUGCAAGUUACACUGUCUGAAUGGUUGUUCUUUUUUGCUUUUGUUAUUCAAUUUGGUAGUGUUUGAGAAUUCAGAUUCUUUUACUGAUUAAGUUCUGAUGAUCUUGAGAUCUUCAUUUAAGGCAAAUUGGUACUAGUAUAAGUGAUGAUUGGUGGGCAUUGAUCCUAGAGUUUCAUGGAUGCUAGCUGUGAAUAUGUUAACAUAGUAGUAGUCCUUAAGUUACAUAUUAGCUGACAUAUGUUUUUGUCCUGUGUUUUCCCGCUUUAAAUUUUUGUUUGGGUGUAUGGAUUUUCAUUUGGGUUUGCCUUUGUAGCAUUUAGGGUACUCUCAAAGCAUAGCAUAACACUUUGGUGGCCUGACUGCCUGAGGUACCCCUCGCUUUGCUUGUGUUUGUCUGGUUAUUUAUGUGGCAUUUGAUUUCUCUGCUCCUUUACUUUCUUUUGCAUGUGCUUGUGUAAUGUUAGAUUCUAUUUUUUUUUUGUCUUGGUGAUUGUAUUGGGAUUGUCAAGCUAUGUUAUUCCUGCUUUGUCAUGAUGGGCUAUUAACUGAUCUUAAUUGCCGGUUACUACUUGAUUGUAGCGCUUCAAGGCUGAGGCAAUCAUAGCUUUCUUUUAGUCAAAACUUUUUUGUACGACUUUCUUAGGUUCAUGGUAGAUGCUGUUGACAUGUCAGAUUGAGAUUUGUACUUUAGCAUCCUGAUUGUUUAAAUGCAUGUAUGUGAGAAUUAGAAUGCGUAUUUGUCUUGAAUUCUUGGUUCAUUUUUGUUCUUAUAAAAGCAUUGGGUUUUUUUUUUCAACUGCUUUUUUAGCGCAUAACUAAAUUCCUCCUUGUUCAGAUCUAGUUGGUCCUUAAGUUCACGUUUAUUAAUUCUUAUCAUGGAGUCAUGUUUAUUACUGGUUGCUUGUGGCAUAACCAUUAUCAGCAUUACUUCAUGCUAGUGUCUGCAGUGUUGCCUAUUCUGCAUUCAUGUCACUGAUACCCUUCCUAAGUUCCCUUUUAUUUGGUACUUUGGCAUUAGCGUAAACUUUUUGUAAAGGUUGUUUCCUAUCUCAUCUUGCAUGUGGUGCUUGGGACAUUGGCCUCAAAUAAUGCCUUCUGUUCCCUCGUUCCGUACUACCAUUAAAUUACCGGAGUCCUAUAUCUAAAGACCAUGUUGUCUUUUAGAAUGCUAGAGAUCUUUGUUGGCUGCUUGAUAGAUAGCUGCAGUGUUAUGAAUAAUGAGUUCAUAAGCUGUUUGUGAACUUAUCCAUUAUUUCUUUAUUAACAUAAGUGUAUUUAUAUAUCAUUACUAUGUAAUGUAACUAUACAAAUCUAUCUUUGCGCACUGCAAAUGUGUUAAGUUUCUUUUUUGGUUGUGGGUAAGCUGGUAUCCAGAAUGCUUUUAUUCCCUUCUUUCUUGAUAGUUCAUGAAUUUUUUUUACCUUUUUUUGUGUUCUGUCUCAUCAGUAGUAGAUCUAAUUUACUGCCUUGAUUUUGUUAUGUUGUUACUGCCUUGAUUUUAUUGUGUUGCAAUAAUAUUUUCAGUUUCCCACUGAUCCUAGUGUGAUAUAUUUGCACUCAAAAGCUCUGGAAUAUCUGUGUGCAGUCAUCAUAGUGCAUAGAACAUUUUGCUAUACUUGAUAAAUCCCGCCUUAUAAAAAAAUUCUCCAAGUAUGUUAAGAAGCCUAAUGUAUUAAGCAUUGCAUUUCUAUUUUUUAAUUCAUUAUUGUGUAUGUUCUGUAUUUAUAUCUGUACUCAGCUGAAUUAUUGAUUGAAUUCUAGUGGAUGUAUGACUCAGGUUUGUGACAACUCUUGGGAGCAUGUGCUUUGCAAUGGUUGUGCUGAAUUCACAUGGAUGUCUUGCAUAUUCUGGCUAGUGGCUACUUCUGAUCUGGAUUCUGGAAUGAGUUUGCACUACCAAUUUUCAAUGUUGGAUAAAUCAAGCUAGUUCAGUGUUUCUUGAUAAUGCUUCACUUGUACUUAUGACUGCUUUGCAGUUUUCAGUUUACAUUGAUAAGUGAAGUUGCACUUUUAAAUCUAUGGUGUCUUGUUUAUUGUCAUAUUAUAUGAGAUUCCUUUGUUAUCUUUAGCCAGUGAUUUGUUCAACCUUGGCUUUUUAUUAGUGGACACAUGCUGUGGGUUGUGGGCUGUUUGUAUGUAUGAUCUAUGAUUGUAAUGCAGGCUUCUUUUUUCCUUUUGAAUUUAUAGUCUGUUUGCAGAACACUGCAUACCUUCUCCAAAAUAAAUCCUAAAGCUAUCUUUGUUUUUGAAGCUUGGAUAGUGGAUAAUUACUACAUGAUAUUGUCAGCAGAUCUUUUGUUUUUCCUUAUGCCUAUAGUUAAAUAUUUAGCUGUGUUACCUUGGUGAAUCAGCUAAAUAGAAUUGUUAACUAGGUGAUAGAUAAGACUACUAACCAACUAUUCAAACCGGGCCUCAGCUAGCAGCUAAUAGUUAGCUCUAAAGGAUGGCCUUAGUCACAUGCCUUUUUACCUUAUGAGAUGGAGAUUAUUGACCGGUUUAUGUUCUCUUUCUCCCAUUUGGAUCUCUCUAAACCUGAAGGUUAUGAGAUGGAGAUUAUUGACGGGUUUAUGUUCUCUUUCUCCCAUUUGGAUCUCUCUAAACCUGAAGGUUAUAAAUUAGGUUUAGCUUUGUAGCACAUUUGCUUACUUUUUGGCAACAUGUCUGAUGAAUAUCUUGAGUAUGCUUUUCUUGUUGUCAGACCCUUUUUAUGACUAUUACAAUUUACAUAUACAUAUUCCUAGUCAGAAUGUUUUACAUGCUCACAUUGCUACUGUCAAUGAGCUGUGUUCUCUGUUAUAGGGUUCAGAAAUUUGCUACUAUAAUAUGUUUGAAGCUAGUUUUAUACCUAGCUGACAUGUGGUCACAAAUGACAUUUUCUGGCAUGAAAACAGUCUUACAUAAGUUGCAAUCUCCAUUUUAUUGUUUAUGGCUUGCACUGCUGUUUGCUGCCCUGCCCAUGCCCAUGCAUUCUAUUGACCUAGUGUAGAUUUUGGUGCUGAAUUAGUUUGUAUUCCAAUGUCAGAUUGUCUAGUGCUGUGUUUUGUAGCGAGUAUUGUCAUCGUACUUGUUAGUUCUCAUUUGCUCUCCUUUAUUUGAUUGCUUAGCCAAUGUGUACAAUUGAAUAGAUGAUUUUUGCUUGUCUACUGUUGUAGAAUUUAGGCUAUAUGAUCAUAUCUUCAAUGUAAAAGUGCUACUGAUAUGUAGCGAUGUCUGUAUAUCAUGAUUUUAGUUGUUUUCCCUUCUCUUCCACUUUACUAUCACACCAGGCAAGGUGAAGCUGCCCCCCAAAAAUAAUAUUGUAUUACGCUUCACCCUAGCAAAUGUACAUUAGAGGGUGGUCUCAUCAAAGAGUCGAGCAAAAGCAUAUUCCAGGUAUCUGGUAGCCCUGGUAGGCACCAGUGGCUGCAGUCAGCAUAUGUGAGCGGUUGCUGCUGCUGCUCUGGGCUCAGCGGUUUCCCUUCCCGGGUGAUGGUGUAAACUGAUGGGUGUGCGUCGAUCCGGAGCUCCGAGAGGCGAGACGCUCCGGAAGAAUACUCUUGUUCUAGUGGGGUCUAUGUUGCGGUCGACCCACCUAGCCCAGGUCCUCAGCGCUCUGUUGAAGGCUUCCUCCCCGGCCAUCUCGACCGUCUUCCCGUCUCUCUCGAGAUGGUCCCACCUGCGUCCAGAUGCAUGGGGUAAGAUGCAGGGAAGGGAAGAGCGAAAAUGGAUAGAGAGAUUGCAUGGACUUACGCCCUGAGCUUGCCAGUGUGAGUCCACCAGUGGCCGGUGUUGAACACGAGAACAUCUGCGCCCAGGGUCCUCUGCAGCAUGGCCGGCAGCUGGUCCAACUGGAGCGCCCUGGUCUGGUUGAUCUUUCUUUCGAGCUUCACAAGGAACGGACUCCAGAAGAACUCCACCGAGCAGUUGUAGUCCUGUUUUUGUAGAAUUUCGGUGACGGAACAGUUUGGAGUCAUUGUCGGUUUUGGUAUGAAUAAUAUACCAUCUUACUAGCA